ACCUCAUAGUAGCAGGCACGCUAUCACAGAGGCCUGUAAUCCCAGCCCUGAGUACAGCCAUUCUGGAACUUUCUCCAACAUAUGCCAGUCCAGAUGAGCCUCCCUCAGGAACCAAACUACAAAUGUGACAUAGGCAGCUAGUAUAAUAAGUGAGAAGAACAGAAAAAUAUGUUACUACCUGGGAAACUAAGGUUGCAGGCUAAUGGACUUGUGUCCAAUAACACCACCUUCCUCAAACAAAAGAAGUGUGGAGCAUUAAUGCAGAGCUUAUACACAAUUAUAUAAGAAAGCCUUUUAAGGACAGACACACACCUAACCAUGGUCAAUUAAGGAGCACACUUCUGAACAUGCGCAGUUCCUUCCCACAUGAUCCUCUGUGGAGAUCAACUUGCAACACAAGAGAAUGUCUUCCCCCACAGCAAAGUGGAAAGAUGUACAUUAUGAAGCUAGGUUUAGCCUGCUGGAUUCUGAGACACCUGUCCAAUUGACCCUCUCUCAUCAGUCAACCAUGAAGCCAAUCAGUAGGACAUCUGGGAGCAGCCAGCCCCAGCCGGCUUGCCAAGUGGCUGCAGCCAUCUGUGUGAUUCCAGCCACCACCAUAUGGAGCAGAGUUUGAACUGGCUGCAGCAAGCUCCCAGGAUUUUCCUGUUUCUGCCUCUACAUCACUGGAAGUCCACAUGACCAUGCCCAGCUUUUUACAGGUUUACUAUGGAUGCAACUCAGAUCCUCACAUUUGUGAGGCAAGCACUUUAC
rnacentral:lncRNA from 1 species